UACGUAGGGGGGCUAGCGUUGUCCGGAUUUAUUGGGCGUAAAGAGCGUGUAGGCGGCCAUGUAGGUCCGGUGUGAAAACUCGAGGCUUACCUCGAGAUGUCAUCGGAAACCAUUUGGCUAGAGUCCGGAAGAGGAGAGUGGAAUUCCUGGUGUAGCGGUGAAAUGCGUAGAUAUCAGGAGGAAUACCGAUGGCGAAGGCAGGUCUCUGGGCUGACACUGACGCUCAUGCACGAAGCGUGGGAGCAAACAGG
rnacentral:rRNA from 1 species